CAACCAUCAAGCCUUGCUUGGUUUUGGAGGUGGUCCUGACCGACCCUUCCCCAACUCAACGAGCGGUCACGUCCGAUCUCGAGCGUAGCAAAAACUCGCUUCAAGAGCAAGACGGUGUCUCGCCAGAUAUCAAUUCUGAA
rnacentral:misc_RNA from 1 species